UCGGGAAUUUUGGGCAAUGGGGGAAACCCUGACCCAGCAACGCCGCGUGAAGGAUGAAGUAUUUCGGUAUGUAAACUUCGAAAGAAUAGGAAGAAUAAAUGACGGUACUAUUUAUAAGGUCCGGCUAACUACGUGCCAGCAGCCGCGGUAAUACGUAGGGACCAAGCGUUGUUCGGAUUUACUGGGCGUAAAGGGCGCGUAGGCGGCAUGACAAGUCACUUGUGAAAUCUCUGGGCUUAACCCAGAACGGCCAAGUGAUACUGUCGCGCUAGAGUGCAGAAGGGGCAAUCGGAAUUCUUGGUGUAGCGGUGAAAUGCGUAGAUAUCAAGAGGAACACCUGAGGUGAAGACGGGUUGCUGGGCUGACACUGACGCUGAGGCGCGAAAGCCAGGGGAGCAAACGGGAUUAGAUACCCAAGUAUUCCCUGAGCGGGCUGGCAAGGCGCAU
rnacentral:rRNA from 1 species